rnacentral:rRNA from 4 species
UCUGGGAAACUGCCUGAUGGAGGGGGAUAACUACUGGAAACGGUGGCUAAUACCGCAUAACGUCGCAAGACCAAAGAGGGGGACCUUCGGGCCUCUUGCCAUCAGAUGUGCCCAGAUGGGAUUAGCUGGUUGGUGAGGUAACGGCUCACCAAGGCGACGAUCCCUAGCUGGUCUGAGAGGAUGACCAGCCACACUGGAACUGAGACACGGUCCAGACUCCUACGGGAGGCAGCAGUGGGGAAUAUUGCACAAUGG